rnacentral:rRNA from 1 species
CCAAGGAGUCUAACAUGCGCGCGAGUCAUUGGGCUGUACGAAACCCAAAGGCGCAGUGAAAGCGAGGGUCGCCUCGGGCUGACCCAGGUGGGAUCCCUCUCGCCCUCCGUCAAAAGAGUGUGCGGGGGGGCGCACCACCGGCCCGUCCCGUCUGCGCUGGCAGUGGGGCGGAGCAUGAGCGUGCACGCUGGGACCCGAAAGAUGGUGAACUAUGCCUGAGUAGAACGAAGCCAGAGGAAACUCUGGUGGAAGUCCGUAGCGAUUCUGACGUGCAAAUCGAUCGUCAAACUUGGGUAUAGGGGCGAAAGACUAAUCGAACCAUCUA